rnacentral:lncRNA from 10 species
CGGGGGGAGGAGGUAGUCCGGGGAGGGAGAGCAAGACCGGGGGAGGCCCGGGACGGGGAAAGGCGCGGCCUCCUUCCCCCCGCCGCAACCUCCUCCUCUGGGGGCGCUGGCCCCCUCUGCUCCCCGCGCCUUAGGCUGAGCUACCCGGAGGCCCCAGGAUCUGGUUCCUGGGCAGGAGUAAGCGCUAGCUGGGGAGAUGAUCUCGGAGAGUGUGGGAUCCACGUUAAGGCAGGGGCGGCCCCCAGCCUUUCAUCUCUUGGCUUUCUGCAAGGGAAGCUCGCACGUGUUGAGCGUCCCCUGUGCACCGAAAGUACACACAUUAUCUCAGUCCUGACAGCGGCACUUCCAGGCAGUAGACAGGAAUUCAUAGACUCGCAUUCUAGAGGAGGAAACAGACUCAGAUUAUGGAAUUUGUCCAAACCCCACACUGUUGGGAUGUGAAUGCAAGCCUGUCGGACUGCAAAGGGCUUUUCACUGGAGUUUAGGGUAGGGUAAUUUCCCCUUAGCUUCUAUGCGCACAAGUGCUGGGCCGCUGCAGCGUCACCCUCGGGAAUGGCGGUGUCUUUUCGUAGAGGACCCCCAACAGUAUCUGUCUGGAGCUUCUGUCAUUAACUAGGCUUAAACAACCAUUGCCAGGAUACUGGUAAAGAGAAUGAGGAAGGGGCCUUAGGAUUCCACAGGUAGUUGGAUGGUUCUUAGGAACACAGUUUAGGGGAAUGUGUUGCAGGGCUCCUGUUCCUCAUUUAGGUAUUUGUGGGGGCUUCAAAGAUGGCUCCAGAGUCACUCAAAGCAGUUACAUGGAUUACAGGAGUUGGGAUUGAUUGACUUUAAGAAGACCAGGGAGGCCUGGUGUGGUGGCGUAAGCCUGUAAUCCCAGCACUUUGAGAGGCCGAGGCAGGCGGAUCACCUGAGUGUAGGAGUUCGAGACCAGCCUGGCCGAAAUCGUGAAAUCCAGCCUACUGAAAAUACAAAAAUUAGCCGGGCGUGGUGGUGCGUGCCUGUAGUUCCAGCAACUUGGUAAACUGAGGCACAAGACUUGCUUGAACCUGGGAGGCGGAGGUUGCAGUGAGCCGAGAUGGCGCCACUGCACUCCAGCCCGGGUGACAGAGCCAGACUCCGUCUCAAAAAAGAGAGAGAGAGAAAAAAUAAAAAAGACGACCAGCGUGAGAGGUAGUGGGUAAGUGGAAGGAAGGGCUGACUCAUGUGCUUUUCAGGCUGGGAUGCUUCGAGGGCUACCAUCUGUGUUCUCACUGCCUGCCCACGCCCCACAUGUUGUCCAGGUGAAACCUGCGGAGAUAAUUAGGAUUAUAGUAAACAUUUGUUGAGCU